CUUAGGAUGAACGCUGGCGGCAUGCCUAAGACAUGCAAGUCGAACGAGGUGGCCCAAAGAAGAUGGAGUGCUUGCACAAAGUCGGAUUGGAAUUCCACCUAGUGGCAGACGGGUGAGUAACACGUGGGUAACCUGCCUCUUUGUUGGGGAUAACAGUUGGAAACGACUGCUAAUACCGAAUAAGAUACUUGUAUCGAAAGAAGCCCUUAAAGCUUCGCGAAGAGAUGGGCCUGCGGCGUAUUAACUAGUUGGUGAGGUAAUGGCUCACCAAGGUAACGAUGCGUAGCCGGACUGAGAGGUCGAACGGCCACACUGGGACUGAGACACGGCCCAGACUCCUACGGGAGACAGCAGUUAGGAAUAUUCGUCAAUGGGGGAAACCCCUGAACGAGCAAUGCCGCGUGAGUGAUGAAAAGGGUCUUUGGAUUGUAAAACUCUGUUGUAUGGAAAGAAUAGCUAUGUUAGGAAAUGAACAUAGUAUGACGGUACCAUACCAGAAAGCCCCGGCUAACUACGUGCCAGCAGCUGC
rnacentral:rRNA from 1 species